GGGGAUGUUUUAAAAUCGAUAGAAUCAGGAGUUAAAGAGCUCAGGCCGAGGCUUGAUGACUAGCCUCGCUAAUCUAUAAUCAUCAACUUGAUAAGUGCCAAAUCACUUGUCGCUAAAGUCCAGAACGCUUUUGCGUCUCUCGCUUUAGCUCCUGCCUUGGCUUAAAAAACCAAAGCCAUCAGCCCGGCAAUACCUAAUAACCGGUCACUGGUGUCAAUUAUUAGGCGUAGGCUAAUUAUCGUCUCAAUAGUUGGCCGAAACGCUUGAGACUUUAGUUGGUAGGGUUUUGUCAAUUUUUGACCGGCCAAUUGAAUUAAAAAUCGACUAAGCUUGUAAAACCUCCUUAGGUCCGCUUCUAGACAGGGGUGCAAUCCCCCUCAUCUCCACCA
rfam:Candidatus Buchananbacteria bacterium RIFCSPHIGHO2_01_FTLL_39_14 rifcsphigho2_01_scaffold_1149, whole genome shotgun sequence.